CUUUCAAAAAGUAAUUAAAGUCUUUCACCUCUGACUCACUCAGUCUGUACUGAGCAAAAAACAGAAUAGACUAAAGGGGAAAACAGUAAAUAUGCUAUUAUUUCCUUAACAAAAACUUAUGAAUGAGGAAAGUGUCAAUGUUGGAUGCUUUUGUUGAAGUGUUACAUGUUCAGUAUUUCUAUGUUUCAUAUUAAUGUGUUCAUGUAAUGUGA